rnacentral:rRNA from 1 species
AAGAGACAGCAGUAGCCACGGUAAUACGGAGGGGUCUAGCGUUGUUCGGAAUUACUGGGCGUAAAGCGCACGUAGGCGGCUUGGUAAGUUAGAGGUGAAAGCCUGGAGCUCAACUCCAGAAUUGCCUUUAAGACUGCCGAGCUAGCAGGUGAGAGAGGUAAGUGGUAUUCCGAGUGUAGAGGUGAAAUUCGUAGAUAUUCGGAAGAACACCAGUGGCGAAGGCGGCUUACUGGCUCAUACUGGACGCUGAGGUGCGAAAGCGUGGGGAGCAAACAGGAUUAGAUACCCGAGUAGUCCCUGUCUCUUAUAC